AUUCAUACACGUAAACAAAAUGUAUCUUCAAAACAAUCUUGUCUGUUCUUUCCCCUAAGCUUUAACAUUCCAUUCAUAAUGUCUAUAUGUAUAUUUAUCUGCAUGUAUAUGACAGCUGCACAAACAUACAAAACAAAUAUCCAGUUCAACAAAAAUACAAUGAGCGUGUACAAACUGAAUCCGCUGGUAUCCAGGACAAAUGCUUAGGAAUCAAAUCUCCAUAUCAUCU